GGUUUCUUCAUUAUACAGGGAGAAGCAUUUUGAGAAUGUCUUUGUAUCUUGUUUUGGUGGGGAUCAUUUUUUCUCAUUGCUGUGACUGCAGGAAUAUUGAUCUCAGCGUUACUCUGACCAUUAAUGAAAUAUGAUGGCAAUAAGCAAAGACACGCACCUCUAGCCUCCUGGGAGCUUAAUCUUCUGUUACAACGUUUGCAUUUGGUAUUACUAAGUUGAUUAGGCUGGUCUCAAAUUCUUGAUCCUCCUGUCUCAGCCUCCUGAGUUGCUGGGAUUACAGUGUACGCCAAUGCAUGCAGAGAUUGAACCCAAGAUAGCUAGACCACUGAGUUAUAUUCCAAGCCCUUUCUGUUUUGAGACAGGGUCUCACUCAGUUGCUGAGACUGGCCUCCACUUUUUGAUCUUCCUACCUCAGCCUCCUGAGGCUCUAGGAUUAUAGGUGUGUACUAUCAUGCCUGGCUAAUUUUUCUGAUUCUUGCCCAUUUACUCAGCCUGGUUGUCCUAUCUUUCUGCUCUUCUGUCAAAUCCAAACAUAUUUUAACAAAUAACUUUUCUGUGGGACCUAGUUUGUGUUUAAUUCUGUUGUUUCCAAGAAAGAAUUUGACUAAAUUUCCUUCGAGGGAUUCUCACCCUGUGCUGCAGCACCUAGUUCAUAUGGCAGGAAAAUUGGCAUGCCAAGGGAGAGCUGGGGGAACAGAGAGGGCUUGGCAAGGAAUUUGGCAGAACUGGGGCAUUGGGAAGGAUCCAGUUGAAUAAACUGGGACAAUAUUGGAAGCUGUGGGUAAGAGUGUUUCCUAAGAAGGUGACAUGUAUAAUGUUUGGGCACCAGGUCAGCAGAGUGAUUCAAGAGUCCCAGCCCUUAUAAGUAUGUCACCAGGAACCAAAUUCAGGAAGGUGACUAAAUGUUAAGGCUCCACCUGGAUGGUGAGCCAAGCAGCCUUGGUUGACAUUGAUGCUGGAGCUGAGAGUAUACAUGGGAUAGAAGAGCAGCGGAUGGUAAAGCUGUGGAGACUUGAAGGAGAAGCUGGCAAUCAUCAUGAAAGUCAUGGAAACCACUUUCGGAAAUGCUUUUUGGCCAUUUCUUCAGAACCAAUUCCCAGGUAAUACAACAGAAUGUAGCCUCAUUAUGUAGGAGGUAAACUUCAUUAGUUGGGUGUGUUUAUUGUAUGCCUAUAAUCCCAGCAACUCUGGAGGCUGAGGUAGGAGAAUUGCAAGUUUGAGUUCAGCCUGAGCAAUUUAGUGAGACCUUUUCUCAAAAUAAAAAAUAAAAAGGGCCAGGGAUGUUGCUCAGUGGAUAGGUUUCCACUGGGUUCAAUUCCCAAUACAAAAAGAAAAAAGAAAACCAAGAUUGUACCAAUGGAGAUACUUAAGAGAACACUGGCAAGUCAGAGACAGUCUUUAGAAUAACUAUUUAUUUAGCCUAUUUGUGUUCCGCAUGUUAUACAAAAUGCUUCACAUCACUGUCUUAUUUAAAUCUCUCAAUAAUCCUGACAGGUAGGUAUUAGUAACCCCAUUUUGUGGAUGAUGGAACAGGCUGAGGAAUUAAUUAUCAGAUUAGAUAGCAAAUAAAUGUCAAGGCAAGAGUUAAAACCUAGAUCUGGUUUGCUCCAAAACACAGACUUCUUCUGUAGGCAGUGCUUAUGGAGGACCCCAAAAUACUUUAAACAGUCUCAGCAUUAGUCCCUUCUCCUCUAGAGACUGCUCUCAAGGUGAUAUCAUUCAUCUGGCUGUAUAAAUCUGGAUGAUAAAAGUGACAAGGACUCUCUUCUUGACCAAACUUGGUUCAGGCUCCUUGAAGCCAUGUCUCAAGGAGGCUUUGACCUUGGACUUCAGUGUGGGCCUGCAUCACCCAGUUUUAACAAGAAUCCUGUUAAGUCAGUUAAGAGAGAAUCCCCACCCUCAAUAUUUGAAAACCCUUGGGUCUGUGAUCACAUCCCAUCCUUUGCCCUUAGUAUCAGAUCACCUUGGUCGCCUUCAGCCUGAGUGCAUGAAGCCCUGAAGCCCCCUCUUGGUAAUAUUCUACCCAUCCACCUUCAAGCCUAUCUUUAGUGAUAAAUCUCCAUUUGUCCUUGAUCUUUUUGGAAUCAAACUGUCGCCACCCCUCGCCGGCAAGGGAAAACACGACACAGGAUUCUUCUUUCAGCAGUUUAUUCAGGCCUUGAUUCAAGUAUCAUCUUCUAGUGACCCCCCGCCGAGCGCCCAAGCAUAGCCUAAUAAAGCUUACUUAAGUCCAAUCCAAAGCUGCCAAGCGGGG